CUGCGUCCGAAAACGUUGGGUAUAUUUCUUAAAUAUUAUUAAGAUAUUAGACAUUUAUAUGUUAUUAUUAACGUAAACCAGACACUUCCCAUGCAGUUUCUGCUCUAAUCCCCCAGUUAUACCAAGUACGAUAUUACAUGACUACCAACACAUUACAACAAGCUUCUUAAAGAAUUAUUUUACACGUGCUUGCUAUUUUGAAUCUAAGUCUGGUUUCCAUUUUAAGCUGGAUUUCCACUUGCAAGAAAAAUUGAAUUGUGAGCGGUCAAAUAUAGAACGGAUUUAUUCGGAUGGUUACGAUUCAAAAGAAAUCAAGCGAAAUAUUUCUCUGUAAGUGCAUGGAAAUCCACCCUUUGUCGUUACGGCCGUGAACACAUCUCUGCAGUGUAUGAAGUGAUAAUUCACAUACAGCAAACAAGAUAAAUUCAGACUUUCACAUCGUCGAACAGGACUUGAUCACGACAGUUACGACCAAAUGAAAACCAGGCUUUAAACUGGUUAUUCCAAAUUUGUUUGUUCAAUAUAAUAAUUAUUUAUCUCGCCACCAACACCAUAUAUUAGAGAGGUUCAGAUUUGACUUCCACUACCUCUCACUGGCUCAGUACGCGUCUGAUUGGU